GCCGAGGUGGCGGAAUUGGCAGACGCGCUAGCUUGAGGUGCUAGUGGGCGCAAGCUCGUAAGGGUUCGAGUCCCUUCCCCGGCA
rnacentral:tRNA from 1 species